CCAAAGUUAGUGGCAAACGGGUGAGUAAUACAUAUCUAACAUGCCCCUCUGUGGGGGAUAGCCGCUUGAAAAAGCGAUUAAUACCCCAUAGGAAGCUUUAUCCAUGAUUUAGCUUUUAAAGCCUUCGGGCGCUGAGGGAUUGGGAUAUGCUCUAUUAGCUAGUUGGCGGGAUAAAAGCCCACCAAGGCAAUGAUAGAUAGCUGGUCUUAGAGGAUGAACAGCCACAAUGGGAUUGAGAUACGGCCCAUAUUCCUACGGGAAGCAGCAGUAGGGAAUCUUCCACAAUGGACGAAAGUCUGAUGGAGCAAUACCAUGUGAACGAUGAAGGCCUUUUUGGUUGUAAAGUUCUUUUACGAGGGAUAAUUAUGAUAGUACUUCGUGAAUAAGUGACAGCAAACUAUGUGCCAGCAGCUGCGGUAAUACAUAGGUCGCGAGCAUUAUUCGGAUUUAUUGGGCGUAAAGCAAGCGCAGGCGGAUGUGUAAGUUCUGUGUUAAAUGCAGCUACUCAAUAGUUGUAUGCACCGAAUACUACAUGUCUAGAUUGUGGUAGGGAGUUUCGGAAUUAAGCAUGGAGCGGUGGAAUGUGUAGAUAUGCUUAAGAACACCAGAGGCGAAGGCGGAAACUUAGGCCAUAAAUGACGCUUAGGCUUGAAAGUGUGGGGAGCAAAUGGGAUUAGAUACCCCAGUAGUCCACACCGUAAACGAUGGGUAUUAGAUAUUAGGGCUUUAGCUUUAGUGUUGUAGCUUACGCGUUAAAUACCCCGCCUGGGUAGUACAUAUGCAAAUAUGAAACUCAAAGGAAUUGACGGGGACCUGAACAAGUGGUGGAGCAUGUUGCUUAAUUCGAUAAUACACGAAAAACCUUACCAAGGUUUGACAUCCCUCGCAAAGCUAUAGAAAUAUAGUAGAGGUUAUCGAGGUGACAGGUGGUGCAUGGCUGUCGUCAGCUCGUGUCUUGAGAUGUUUGGUUAAGUCCCGCAACGAGCGCAACCCCACUCUUUAGUUACUUGUCUAAAGAGACUGCACAGUAAUGUAGAGGAAGGAUGGGAUCACGUCAAGUCAUCAUGCCCCUUAUGCCUUGGGCUGCAAACGUGCUACAAUGGCGAACACAAUGUGUUGCAAACCAGCGAUGGUAAGCUAAUCACCAAAUUU
rnacentral:rRNA from 1 species